UACGUAGGGUGCAAGCGUUGUCCGGAAUUACUGGGCGUAAAGCGUGCGCAGGCGGUUCGUCGUGUCCGAUGUGAAAGCCCCGGGCUCAACCUGGGAAUGGCAUUGGAAACUGGCGGGCUUGAGUGUGGCAGAGGGGGGUGGAAUUCCGCGUGUAGCAGUGAAAUGCGUAGAGAUGCGGAGGAACACCGAUGGCGAAGGCAGCCCCCUGGGCUGACACUGACGCUCAGGCACGAAAGCGUGGGGAGCAAACAGG
rnacentral:rRNA from 1 species